AAAAUAACAAAACGGACAAGAAAAAGAAAACUCAACACAAAUGUUAUAGCCAACCUUUGGAUGACCAAAUCAAGAAGAUAAGACACGAUGAAGGAUUUCUCUCUGUCCCUGCUUAGUCGUGGGUGUGGACGAUUAGUCUCAUCUAACAGAAACACAGAGAGGCAUGAUGGUCGGCUGGAUGUCUGCUUCACACCACAGGAUUACUAUAUCUGGAAGUCCCGGGACUCUCUUCUGCGACUGUCCAACAAGAGCCCACAGAUUUUGAAAGAAGAGUCAGCCCUUCCAAAGACGUACAGCACCCGUAGGGGCCCACUUCUACUGUAUUCCCAGGACUUGGUUACUUUUGAAACCAGCGCAGAGAGCAGAGAUGGAAAGCAGCGGGUUGUGAGUAGAUUCACUCAAC